GAUGAACGCUGGCGGCGUGCCUAAUACAUGCAAGUCGAGCGAACGGACGAGAAGCUUGCUUCUCUGAUGUUAGCGGCGGACGGGUGAGUAACACGUGGAUAACCUACCUAUAAGACUGGGAUAACUUCGGGAAACCGGAGCUAAUACCGGAUGAUAUUUUGAACCGCAUGGUUCAAAAGUGAAAGACGGUCUUGCUGUCACUUAUAGAUGGAUCCGCGCUGCAUUAGCUAGUUGGUAAGGUAACGGCUUACCAAGGCAACGAUGCAUAGCCGACCUGAGAGGGUGAUCGGCCACACUGGAACUGAGACACGGUCCAGACUCCUAAGGGAGGCAGCAGUAGGGAACCUUCCGCAAUGGGCGAAAGCCUGACGGAGCAACGCCGCGUGAGUGAUGAAGGUCUUCGGAUCGUAAAACUCUGUUAUUAGGGAAGAACAUAUGUGUAAGUAACUGUGCACAUCUUGACGGUACCUAAUCAGAAAGCCACGGCUAACUACGUG
rnacentral:rRNA from 1 species